UGUUCCUCUCCAAAGUCGUGUUAUUCAAAUCGGGUGAUGUGUCGAUGAAGACCAUAUGACUGAAACAAAAGGAAAACUGUAUUUCAUUCCUGUGGUAAGAGGAAGCUGGAUACCACUAGAAACUUCCCCAGUCCUUAGGAGAGGAAGAAUUCGACUUAGGAAAAUACAGUAAUAAUCACGUUAGAUGCCCUGAAGUUUACUGUACAGAACGUAGGUUCAUCCGUCCUGCCCACAAAGGAGGCUGAGAGACAAGAAUGAGUGGUUUUUAUUUGGUGGAGAUAUUAACUUGACAUUGUCCCCCUUGCUUGAAAAGCGGUGAUUAAAAUUGAGCCAAGAAGUGAAAAUUAGGUAAGACCAUUUUUAUUUCUGAAGGAAAUGAAAAUUACCCCGAACGGGGCGCGCGCAUAUAUACACACACUUACCUGGAGCCGGGAAACAUACAGAAAAGGAAGACCCAGAAAUGGAAGGGAGUUUUAAUGGAAAAAGAAACUGCUGAUGGGAAGGUUCAAAUCUACAACAACGCGGUAAGAAGGGCUCCUGUUAAAGACGCGAUACAAGGGGGAAGGACAAGUCUUUAAUCCCGCCUAACUGGCCGCCCAAACGGAGAAUGCUAUCUUCCCACCGCAUCGGAGAAGACACUUCGAAAAGCACGGCUGAAAGGUGGAGUUAAAACCCGAAGUGGGUUUAGGGAACAUUAAACCUCGUAAUUGGCUGUCGGGCCUGCACUCCCGACUCCAGAAAAGCCAGCGCUGCGCGUCCUCUCCAGAGUUCUCGUCACCGCCGGGGUCCGCGCUCGCUGGGCGGCCUUUCCUGCGAGUUUCCCGGGGGAGACGCGCUCGUCCCGGCACCGGGAGCCGGCCGCCCAGCCAGAACGCACGACUGAAACACGACGGUGAGGCGCGACAUCUCGGCAAGCGGGCGGGUGGCCCGCCGGGCACCACCGCCCGGGAAGGCCGCGCGCCGCCAGACCCCGACCCGGCGGAGGGCACGUGGGGCGGCCGCCUGGGGCCGGGCCCCUCCCGGGCUCGCUCACGGUGUUAACUCAGGCGCCGCCGGACCAGACGGCCCUCCCUCCACAGGGCCGCCCCGCGCGCGCAGAGAAGGCGGAGCCUCGGAAAUCCGCGGCGCGCCCAGGGCCCAGAUAUAAGCGUAUUUCACAGCCUCCGGCUCCGCCUGGAGCGAUGCGCGCGCGUGGCUGGACCAGGCUCCCCCGGAAGAUAUUUUAGCCCGUCUCCCACUCUUCCUGCGCUGGAGACCGCCAGUUCCCGUUCCUCUCCCUUGUGUCAUCUUAUUUUUAAUUAUAAAUCAUGGAAGAUGAAGAUAAAGCAAUUGAACAUGAAGAUUUGACACCAUACACAGGAAUGGACCACACAGCCUCUACAUAUCAAGAAACACAGGAGGAAGCAGUUAUGAACUCUAAAGGAAUAGAUGCAAACGAACCAACAGAAGGAAGUAACCUCCUGAAUAGCAGUGAAAAAAAGCUACAAGAAAUACCAACUGAAUCAAAUAAUUUGCGAAGACUAGGACAAACAUUUGCUUGCCCUCCACAUGGCUUGCUGGCUAGAGGGAUAACAAAUGUUACCAUGGUUGUUCUUCUCUGGGCUGUAGUUUGGUCAAUUACUACCAGCGAAUGUCUUCCUGGAGGAAACCUAUUUGGAAUUAUAAUCCUAUUCUAUUGUGCCAUCAUUGGAGGUAAACUUUUGGGGCUCAUUAAGUUACCUACAUUACCUCCACUGCCUCCUCUUCUAGGCAUGCUUCUUGCUGGGUUUCUUGUCAGAAAUAUCCCUGUCAUCAGUGAUAAUGUACAGAUCAAGCAUAAGUGGUCUUCCUCUUUGAGAAGCAUAGCCCUGUCUAUCAUAUUGGUUCGUGCUGGCCUUGGGCUUGAUUCAAAGGCCCUGAAGAAGUUGAAGGGUGUUUGUAUAAGACUGUCCAUGGGUCCUUGUCUUGUGGAGGCAUGCACAUCUGCACUUCUGGCCCACUUUCUAAUGGGCUUACCAUGGCAAUGGGGAUUUAUCCUGGGUUUUGUUUUAGGUGCUGUAUCUCCAGCUGUCGUAGUGCCUUCAAUGCUCCUUUUGCAGGAAGGAGGCUAUGGAGUUGAAAAAGGCGUCCCAACCUUACUUAUGGCUGCUGGCAGCUUCGAUGAUAUUCUGGCUAUCACUGGCUUCAACACAUGCUUGGGCAUGGCCUUUUCCACAGGCUCCACAAUUUUCAAUGUUCUCAGAGGAAUUUUAGAGGUGGUAAUUGGUAUGGCAACUGGAUCUCUUCUUGGAUUUUUUAUUCAGUACUUUCCAAGCAGUGACCAGGACAAACUUGUGUGGAAGAGAGCAUUCAUUGUUUUGGGGCUGUCCAUACUAGCUGUGUUCAGCAGCGUGUAUUUUGGUUUCCCUGGGUCAGGAGGAUUGUGCACACUGGUCAUGUCCUUCCUUGCAGGUUUGAGAUGGGCCGGCGAAAAGGCAGAUGUUGAAAAAAUUAUUGCAGUUGCCUGGUACAUCUUUCAGCCCCUUCUGUUUGGACUGAUUGGAGCAGAAGUAUCUAUUGCAUCUCUCAGACCAGAAACUGUAGGCCUUUGUAUUGCCAUCCUCGGCACUGCAGUAUUGAUACGAGUUUUAACUACAUUUCUGAUGGUGUGUUUUGCUGGUUUUAACAUAAAGGAAAAGAUAUUUAUUUCUUUUGCAUGGCUUCCGAAGGCCACAGUCCAGGUAAUAAUGGAUAGGAUGGCUUAGCAUCUUAACUCCUAUUUAUAUAUGGUAUCUUGAACUUUUGAAUAAGAGGGCUAAUUCAAAUUUGGUGAAAAAAUGUAAUUGAAGACUGAUUUACAAAAAAGGUUUAUACUAAUCUACUGUUUAAAAGUUUUAUUUUGAGUAUAUUGAUUUCCUAAAUAUGAUGGCUCAUUUAAAUUUAUCUAGAUCACCAGAUUUACUUAAAUCAACUAAAAAUCCAAUAUAUCCCUACACUAAGCAGAAAGUAGUAGUCACAGGAAGAAAGUGUUUGAAUUUUUAUCAGUCAGAGUUCUCUAAAUCACCCAGAAAGAUAGUUGUCAAUCUUUUGACAACUUUGCAUUUCAAUAUCUUCCAAGAAGAGAGUGAAACAGAAAUAGCAUGGCCCAUCUUAGUAUUUGGAAAUACUUCAGUGUCCGUAUGACUAAUGAUCAGUUAUGCUUGACCACAGUUUUUAUAUAUAAAGGAGACAGAUUUAUUAAAAACAAUUAGGAAAAUGCUUUAUUGCCUUCCUAGAUUAUUGGUUGAUAUUAAAAUUUUCAAACUAGCCGAACCUCCUGUCAAAUGUAUCAAUCACAUGACCCCAAAACUGUGCACUCUCAUGAGCAAGGCAUGAACAAAUAGGUGCUUGAAAUUACUGACCACGUAUUUGAUAGAAUUUAAUUACUAAUUAAAUUACAACUGUGUAGAUUAUUAUUUGUUGCAAAUGUAAUAUAUUUCUGAUUAUGUUCUAUAUUUUCAAACUAAACAUAGCAAACAAGAUUUAACUGUCUCUUCUCUGAUUAUUUUGCAGUUGUUUAAAUAUGCACAUUUCUGUUUCAUGAAAUGAAAAUCAGAUGUUCUUAAUUUAGGAAGCUUUUGGGGAUAUGUAUGCUCUGUAACUAUGCCAGAUUUUGUGUGGCUGUGAGCUUCGGCAUUAUUCCAGAGAAGUUUUCAUUUCCAUCAGACUUUCAAAGACGUCUGAGACAUAAUGGAUAAGAAUACUGUGAGGUUAAUAGUACAGCUGCCAUAGGAUCUGUGGCUUUGGACACAGCAAGAUCACAUGGAGAGAAACAAUUGGAAGAAUAUGGAAUGGAUGUGUUGACAGUGGCAUUUUUGUCCAUCCUCAUCACAG